AAGUCGUAACAAGGUUUCCGUAGGUGAACCUGCGGAAGGAUCAUUAAUACGUCUAAACAACGUUUUAAACCUUUCAAAUUUGUGGAAAUUCUUACCAUUCCGGGUGCAUUUUAUUGGCAUGAGAAGGGACUUCUUGUAAUGAGACACUUCAGUGUAGAGCAGUGAGGUGAAAUCUGAGCUUUUGAUGGCUUGGAUUUGGUUCUGGAUCACGACUCUUUGGUGACAGAGAGUCAAAUGCUGAAUGCAUUCGGUUAUUACUGUUCUACAUUUUAUUCUAUCAAACUUAUAAACCCCAUGUACAACAACUUGAACUAAACAUCUCUUCUGAUCACAUUGACUUGUGUGAUGAAGAACAAAUCUGAAAUUAAGAACAACUCUUAACAACGGAUAUCUUGGUUCUC
rnacentral:misc_RNA from 1 species